CUCGUCCACGGGGAGAUGACGACGCACCCACCGACGCCUCCCGGAAGGAGAAUAACUGGUGGCGGGAGUGUUUUCCUUCAUUGGGUGGCGGGAAAGAAAAGCCCUGAGCGGCCUGAGGCGGGCGAGGAAGGACCCGCAGGGCGCUGGUGGGCUCCUCCCCGCACACUCUUCGCUGAAUCCCUCAGGACGCAGGAGCUAGGGAAGAGAGGGUGGGGUGCACAGAUGAUAAAAUAUGGGUGACCCGGGCGCCCUCGUGAGACACAGUCAACGACACUGGUUAACCGCGAGUUUUGGAGGACCAGGUACGUGGAGAUGGUUAAUGUUUAACAUUCAGUGUGAAUCAAAGGCAAGUUAUGAGCCGGGGUCCCUCUCACAUCUAAUUUAGGAAUUAACUGCUUAUUUCACCAAGGCAGUC
rnacentral:lncRNA from 1 species